rnacentral:rRNA from 1 species
CUACGGGUGGCACCAGUGGGGAAUAUUGCACAAUGGGCGCAAGCCUGAUGCAGCCAUGCCGCGUGUAUGAAGAAGGCCUUCGGGUUGUAAAGUACUUUCAGCGGGGAGGAAGGGGGUAAAGUUAAUACCUUUGCUCAUUGACGUUACCCGCAGGAGAAGCACCGGCUAACUCCGUGCCAGCAGCCGCGGUAAUACGGAGGGUGCAAGCGUUAAUCGGAAUUACUGGGCGUAAAGCGCACGCAGGCGGUUUGUUAAGUCAGAUGUGAAAUCCCCGGGCUCAACCUGGGAACUGCAUCUGAUACUGGCAAGCUUGAGUCUCGUAGAGGGGGGUAGAAUUCCAGGUGCAGCGGUGAAAUGCGUAGAGAUCUGGAGGAAUACUGGUGGCGAAGGCGGCCCCCUGGACGAAGACUGACGCUCAGGUGCGAAAGCGUGGGGAGCAAACAGGAUUAGAUACCCUAGUAGUC